CCUUAUAGAGGCCGACGAUGAAUUCCGCAGCCCAACCUCACAACCCUCCCGCGCGCCGCUGUGCUGCUCCUCUCAGCCAGUGCGCGGCCGCGGCGCCCCCCCUCAGGGCAGCACGCCGCAGUGCCGCCCCUCUCACCCCUGGGUGCCGCCAUGCCGCUCUUUCACCCCUGCGCGCCGUCGCGCCGCCCUUCUCACCCCUGCGCGUCGCCCCCUCUAACCCUAGUGCGGCCACCCAUGGAUCCCCUACCGCCGCUUGUUUCCAGGACGCAGCAGACAACCACCCACCCGAGCUCGAACGGCCGGACGCGCUAGCUCGAACUGCCGCACGUCAUCCCUUGAACAGUCGGGCCUACUGUUCACUGAGCUGGCAGUCCCCUGGCCUCUGUCCGUCAGCGCGGCUCGUGGGCUCCUCUCUUCCAGAAACAUGACAAGGUACCAUGAGGGCGUCGAGAUCAGGCAGAACGCCGCUCAUGGUUUCACUGUGCCUGCUCUUCUGCCCCAUCAGGAACGCCGCUCACACACUCAUUAAGGAACUGGUGGGUUCCACAGAUACCUAGUUGAGUAUCAGCGCCAGUCUGUCGCCGGCCUGUGCUAGUCUCUUCUCCACAACCGGGUACUAGAGCCAAAUCCUAGCGCGCCCAGCCGCUGCUCGUGAACCCCGCCUCCAUCAGCUCCACUUCACCGAAGCCGUCAGUCCACAGGAAUAGGGGUAGCGGAUCCCCUAUAGCGGCCAAAUCCCGGUGCACCCAGCCGCUGCUCAUGAACCCCGCCUCCAUCAGCUCCACUUCACCGGAGCCGUCAGUCCACAGGAGUAGGGGUAGCAGGUUCACCUGACGUCCGACGCCUUCUUCCAUCUCCAAAAAUCUUGUUUUUUGAGUUCAGUUCUUCGUCACAUGUUUCACUAGCUGAAAAAUGCAUGGUGUUCUGAAAUUGCUUGCGGACCACUAGCUGAAAUUGCUUGACGAACAGAGCAAAGGUUGUAUCUUCAUCUACUGUUUUUUCAGAUAUUCGUCAUAUGCACGAGCACGGCUAUAUUUGCUUGUUAUGAUCUAGUGGGCAGCAUUAACAUUUUGGUAGUCCUUCUGCAGGGCCCAAACCCACUGUCAUGCAAGAAAAAGAAAGCAAAGCCCCAACCAUCAGCUGCUCAAUCAUCAGGUAAUUAAUCAGCACUAAAACAUACGUGUCUAAUCCAAUGUUGCGAAAGCAAGCUUGGAGUUGUCUGACUUAUCUUUAGGUGUAGAACUGAUAGUAAGAUGGAGAAGAGGUAAUGCAACAAAAAUCUUGGAUAGGGCAGUGAAGUCCAUUGCGCAUUCUUGUUUUUUGAAGCUCCGGACAUCAGUUGUAUUGAGACAUGGAUGGCUCUACACCUGAAGCACAUAUUUGACAAGCAUGAUCACAUGUUCCCUUCACGGUCUGAUGGCCGAUGGAGAGGCGAAGCGAAAGACGGUUAAGAAGUGCAAGAGAAGUGGCAAAGAUAGCAGGUCCAUGUGUAUUUAACAGCAAGUCCAUGUAUUACUACAUGAGAAGUACUGCUAGUGAGACUUCACCGCCCCAUUUCAACAAACUUGUAUACGCAAUCCUGGUUUGACAAAGUACUCUGCUGCUGCUGGUUUCAGUUCCCUCACUGGAUUUGCAGGCUCACGACCAUCCUCUAACACCCCGUCAGUGCCACUGAUUAGAAGGAGCUCCGUGAGCAUGUACUUCUCCUGGUAUACAAUUUCGUUCCUCCCUGUAUUGCAGUCAUUUUGGUUAGUAAACUUGUAUGGACGAAAAAGAAUUGUGCUAGGAAGUUCAUAUCUUAAAACUAGAUAAGUUCAAAAAACAAACCACGACCAGUUUGAAAAAGAACCACCCUCACCCUGGCCACCCUCGCGCCACCGCGGCGCCCAAGCCGUUCACCGCCGGCACCAGUCUGUUCACCAGUGACACAGAGGCCGUUCAACGAUGCACUGGUGAGGUCUGGCAUUUCCCCUUCCUCUUUUUAUGUAGCCUCUGCGUCGAAGUUCACCUCCAUGUGUUGCUCCACUCGUAGCUCCCAACCUACCCUCGAGCAAGUUCGUGCUGUGCACGAUAUCAGUUCAACCUGUGUACUUGUUUGACCUCGACGCUUAUGGCAGUCCCACAAGGACGAGUGUGGUCUAUGAUCAAGCUGUUGGUUCCCAAGCAAGUUCCUGGCUGAAGGUGGGCUUCCACGUUGAGGUGUGGAACGCAAUGUACAUGGAGAUCCCGAUGGAGUACGAUGAUGGCAAUGUGGCGCAGGUGGACCUCAUGGAGUUUGGCUGGGCUGGCGGCGGUCGGCGCUGGACGCGGGUGCAUGAGUUGUGGGGCUCCAUCUGCCAGUCGACCACCGCUUACUCCCACUCUGUUCACUGGUUUUGUUUUCACUUUCACGCCUAUUCCUCGUCGACCUGCAGCAGCAGGAGACACGAGAUCACCUCCAGCACCGCUGGUCACAUGAAGGUCGUCAAAAAUGGUACAUUCUCCAUAAAACACGAGAGAGGUUUGGACGGACGCUGUCACUAGCUCACUAUGACGCCGCGGAUCACUAGCACGAAGGACACCGCCAGGUUGAGGAUGAAGUACAUGAGGCAGACAAUGAGGACGUCCAAAACAUGGAAUCCAUACACAUAGCACUAACUGCAAAUUUAAAUUUUCUGUCUAUGAUGAUUUGAUUGCUACUUCUUAAAGAAAGUGUACAUAAUAGUUAGAUGUUUGCGCAAGAAAGGAAAAUUUGUUUGAAUUAAAAACAUUGAUCGGUACGAAUUUGAGGAAGUCCGUCAAUGGAUCCAAGGAAAAUAACAUGCUCUUUAGGUGUUGUCACUAUUCCUGUGAGCACAAGUUUUAAAAAAUGUUUACUUUGUGCUCU